GUGGGUUGAGAAUCGCCUGCUGCUCUGACUUUGGCCAUGGGUGAGAUUUGGUGCCAGAGCCAGUUGGAUCUCACCACCCCACCCACUCUAUAGCAGGCAGAGGUGAAACCCAGACCAUGGCCUGC